GCUGGCGGCAGGCCUAACACAUGCAAGUCGAGCGGUAACAUUUCUAGCUUGCUAGAAGAUGACGAGCGGCGGACGGGUGAGUAACGCGUAGAAAUCUACCUAGUAGUGGGGGAUAGCCCAGAGAAAUUUGGAUUAAUACCGCAUACGCCCUACGGGGGAAAGCGGGGGAUCUUCGGACCUCGUGCUAUUAGAUGAGUCUGCGUCGGAUUAGCUUGUUGGUGAGGUAAUGGCUCACCAAGGCGACGAUCCGUAGCUGGUCUGAGAGGAUGACCAGCCACACUGGAACUGAGACACGGUCCAGACUCCUACGGGAGGCAGCAGUGGGGAAUAUUGCACAAUGGGCGCAAGCCUGAUGCAGCCAUGCCGCGUGUGAAGAAGGCCUUAGGGUUGUAAAGCACUUUCAGCAGUGAGGAAAGGGGUGUCGUUAAUAGCGCCAUCCUGUGACGUUAACUGCAGAAGAAGGACCGGCUAACUCCGUG
rnacentral:rRNA from 1 species